UACAGAGGGUGCGAGCGUUAAUCGGAAUUACUGGGCGUAAAGGGUGCGUAGGUGGUUUUGUAAGUAACAUGUGAAAGUCCUGAGCUUAACUUGGGGAUUGCAUGUUAAACUGCAAAGCUAGAGUGUUGUAGAGGAUAGCGGAAUUUCCGGUGUAGCGGUGAAAUGCGUAGAUAUCGGGAGGAACACCUGUGGCGAAAGCGGCGCACUGGACCACAACUGACGCUGAGGCGCGAAAGCUAGGGGAGCAAACAGG
rnacentral:rRNA from 1 species